rnacentral:ncRNA from 1 species
UCCCUGAAUGUAAUCGAGGGAGUGACUCUCGCCAAAAGAGCGAGGGCCGGAGCAAGGUCAGCUUCGGCAAAAAUUAUUAACUUGGAUGCAGAGACCACAUCCUUGAAUA